CCUGCCCCGGGAAGCCCUGUGGGUGUGGCUGCCGGGUCCCAUUUGCAUCGGUAGGUGGCAGAGAGGAGAGAGGGUACAUCUACCCUCAGUGUUCUGACCUGUGAACAUCUGAACAAUUAGUAUCCUAACAUU